AACAAGGCGUACCUGCGGACCUGCGGAAGGAUCAUUAAAAGGAGUGUGUACCCCUCUGUAAAAUGAGUGGGUUACCUCCCGUCCUUUGUUGACCUCUUAGGAGGUUAUUUUGAACUUUCUGCUUCGGUGGGGUUAAACCUACCGGAACACCCUCAAAUUCUUAUCAUUUAAAAAUUGUUCAGUCUGAUUUUUGUUAAUAAAAACAAAAAACUUUUAACAAUGGAUCUCAGAUCGGAAGAG
rnacentral:misc_RNA from 1 species